GAGGAUUAGACCUCCCUUGUGUGCAUGCUAAGUCCCCCAGGAUCUCCCUUUGGAUGCUUUGCCUGAUGCUCCAUUUGAGCCUUUAGAGAAGAUUUCUCUCUCUGCUCUGUCACAACAGACAUUAAAGGACCACUAUAGGCACCCAGACCACUUCAGCUCAAUGAAGUGGUCUGGGUGCCAGGUCCAUGUAGGGCUAACCCUGCCUGCUGUAAACAUAGCAGUUCUAACAUUAUAUUUUUCUUAUGAUGAAGAUGUCUUAACCAUAAGAGAGGUGUCACAAGUUGGAUCUUAAGCAAUGUCUCUCUGCUUAUAUUCAACAGUCUACACUGUAGAGAAAAAUCAAACCAACAUUCCUUGGGUAUCUUGCAAGGGAAAAGCAGAUGCUGUUGCCUCUCGUGGACGGUCACUGCAGUUUCUAGAGCCUAUAAAGUUAAGGUUGUUCCUGUUCCUGAAGGCAUCAGUGCUCACUCCACUGGGUCCAGCUUUACCUCAGGAGCUGCAAAGGCUGGUGUUCCGGCAGAGAGCAUUUCUAAAGCCGUUAAUUGGUCUUCUCUGAGG